UACGUAGGGAGCAAGCGUUGUCCGGAAUCAUUGGGCGUAAAGCGCGCGUAGGCGGCCCCGUAAGUCCGCUGUGAAAGUCAAAGGCUCAACCUUUGAAAGCCGGUGGAUACUGUGGGGCUAGAGUCCGGAAGAGGCGAGUGGAAUUCCUGGUGUAGCGGCGGAAUGCGCAGAUAUCAGGAGGAACACCAAUAGCGAAGGCAGCUCGCUGGGACGGUACUGACGCUAAGGCGCGAAAGCGUGGGGAGCGAACAGG
rnacentral:rRNA from 1 species